ensembl:lncRNA
CUCAUUUUGAUGAAGGGGGCUGCUAUUGGCACCUGCAUGGCUCACAUCCUCUGUGCUGGGAGUGGUGGAAUGGCAGCCCAGAAGCCUAUGUGUCACUUUUCACCUACUAAAAAUGAUGUUGAAUGCUGAAAAGCCAAAUAGGUGAAUUUCUAAAAUGUUCUCAGUAUCUGAAAGAUUAACUUCGAUUUUGCUUUGCUGGUUAUUGCUCUUCACUGCCCUCAAGUUUGAGAUAGCAGAGUGACAAGAUGGAGAGAAGAAUUUGGAAGGAGAAGCAGAAGCUGGGAAGCCCAUUCCAUGAAGAGAUAGAAAACGUGGCUCUUCUUUAAACAUGUGGGGAAUAAAGACUGGAGAGGAAGCAGCAAUACUGGUGGGCAGCAUAUCUCAACUGUGAACACAGUAGAUGGCUUGCAUUGUAACCUGACAGUGAGAAUACAUAUCUUGACCACCCACCUUGAAGAUACAGCCUUAAAUGUACCCCAAUCUGUCUUGUAAUGAGACUCACUUCUCUGAUCACCCACACUCUACUAUUCAGUGCAUCCUAAUAAAC